rnacentral:lncRNA from 1 species
GAAGAGGGAUCUUAGGGCCACUGUCAUCACAGUGGCAGCUUCGUUGACUCUCACCCCUUGCCCCAAAUCGCCGGCCUGCCGCCACUUCCCCUCACUAGAGACCCCUAGGCGUCGACGGCAGAGUUCCUGAGAACCCUGGAGAAGGAACGGCCUGAUACUGAGCUGGGACUCCGACUCCUGGAACAGCCUGAGCCUGAUAUUAUCCGAUGCCCCUGAGGUUGCGUCUUCAAAUGUCUUGCCCCCAAAAUACCAGUUUUUAAAAUUAAUACGUGAUAUUGUAUCCUUGCAAAAUAUUUGUAACAUGUAUGAAAGUUAUGAACCUCUCUAAACCAAGAGACCACAUCAAUCUAAAAGACAGAUGUUAUCAGGUUAGGGCCUCUUCCUGUGUGCUCCUCAUCUUACUGUGCAAGCUGGGAUUCCUGGACAAUGGCAAAUUGAACUGCUCUUCACAGAUAUCUUUGACUUGAUAUUGAUUUAAAAUGAACUGCUUGCUUCUAAGUUUCCACCAUUAAGAAUUAUGUACAUUGUUGUAGAUUUCUGGUAGUUAACUUUUAUUCAGUUAAAGAAAUUCCUUUCAAGACCUAGUUUACUAACAAUUUUGGUCAAGAAUGGAUGUUGAAUUAUAAAAUUGCUUUUUCUAUGUCUAUUAUGAGAACUAUUCUACUGUAUUCUGUUUAUUCAGUGAAUUACAUUCUUGUUUCUUUUAUUAAACUGGUUUUAUGGUUGUUUUGUUUUGUUUGAGAUGGAGUCUCUCUCUGUCGCCCAGGCUGGAGUGCAGUGGCAUGAUCUCAGGUCACUGCAACCUCUGCCUCCUGAAUUCAAGCGAUUCUCCAGCCUCAGUCUCCCAAGUAGCUGGGACUACAGGCACCCAUCACCAUGCCCAGCUAACUUUUUGUAUUUUUUUCUUGUUGUUAUUGUAGAAACAGAGUUUUGCCAUGUUGCCCAGGCUGGUCUCAAACCCCUGGACUCAAGCAAUCCACCUGCCUUGGCUUCCCAAAGUGCUUGGGUUACAAGUGUGAGCCAUGGUGGCUGGCCAGUUUGUUCUUUUUCUUUUUUUAUUAGUGUGUACAAUUCCAUCGUACGAAAAUACAAUAAUUUAUCCGUUCUCUUGUUGAUGAACAUUUGGAUUGUU